rnacentral:rRNA from 1 species
GACCAGACUCCUACGGGAGGCAGCAGUGGGGAAUAUUGCACAAUGGGGGAAACCCUGAUGCAGCAACGCCGCGUGAGUGAAGAAGUAUUUCGGUAUGUAAAGCUCUAUCAGCAGGGAAGAAGAUGACGGUACCUGAGUAAGAAGCCCCGGCUAACUACGUGCCAGCAGCCGCGGUAAUACGUAGGGGGCAAGCGUUAUCCGGAUUUACUGGGUGUAAAGGGAGCGUAGACGGUGAGACAAGUCUGAAGUGAAAGCCCGGGGCUCAACCCCGGGACUGCUUUGGAAACUGCCUGACUGGAGUGCUGGAGAGGCAGGCGGAAUUCCUAGUGUAGCGGUGAAAUGCGUAGAUAUUAGGAGGAACACCGGUGGCGAAGGCGGCCUGCUGGACUGUAACUGACGUUGAGGCUCGAAAGCGUGGGGAGCAAACAGGAUUAGAUACCCUCGUAGG